GAUGAACGCUGGCGGCGUGCUUAACACAUGCAAGUCGAACGGAAAGGCCGAAGCUUGCUUCGGUACUCGAGUGGCGAACGGGUGAGUAACACGUGGGUGAUCUGCCCUGUACUUCGGGAUAAGCUUGGGAAACUGGGUCUAAUACCGGAUAUGACGAUCUCUUGGAUGGGGUUGUGGAAAGCUUUUGCGGUAUGGGAUGAGCUCGCGGCCUAUCAGCUUGUUGGUGGGGUAAUGGCCUACCAAGGCGUCGACGGGUAGCCGGCCUGAGAGGGUGUACGGCCACAUUGGGACUGAGAUACGGCCCAGACUCCUACGGGAGGCAGCAGUGGGGAAUAUUGCACAAUGGGCGCAGGCCUGAUGCAGCGACGCCGCGUGGGGGAUGACGGCCUUCGGGUUGUAAACUCCUUUCGCAAUCGACGAAGCCUUUUGGUGACGGUAGGUUGAGAAGAAGCACCGGCUAACUACGUG
rnacentral:rRNA from 1 species